rnacentral:lncRNA from 1 species
CCGAAUAGAUUAAAUAUUCAAUUGGAGUACGAAAGAAGCUUCGCAUUAAAGCAGCUGAUUUCUCUCUUCACCUUUCCAAACGAUUGUUUCAGAUGGCUCCGAUUGUGAUGGGUAUUCAGGGGAAAAUGGCAGUUCUGCAUCUCCUUAUUCUCUUACUUGUUCCAUUGUUAACAAUCAGCUUAGAAGACACAUCAGAGAUGCGACGUUGGUGUUUUUACACAAACUGGGCUCAG